GAAGAAGGUGCUGGAUGAUCCCGUUUAGGAGCCGUUUCUCCCUCUGAGCCGUGCUGAUAGCGAGGGAGCCUUCAGUGUGACCGGAGGCAUCUGGGAAGACACGGGAGAUGCAGUGAUGAAAACUAGCUGAAAACCAAACCUCACCUGACUCAUCAACGUCAGCAUCCUCAUCCCAUUCCUGGUAAGCGCGGCCCUCGUUCUGCCGGCUCUUCACCCAGUCGUCGUCUGGCUCCUGGUCGAGAACCCCUGGAGGGCCGCUGUAAUAAUCACCUGAAGAAAAAGACACAGGUGCACACCACAGAGAUGAAACCGUUUCUUCUUUUCUUUUUUUCUUGAACAGAAACCGGCUGUUUAAUCAUUUCUGUUGCCUCGAUCACAGACGUUUGCGUUCGUUGUUCAAAGCUCUGUUUAGAGAUUAUAUAACAAAUGACUAACACUAUAGAAAAAAAACCCAUCAAAACAAUAUCUCUCUCUCAACGUUAACAUCUAAAAGCUUUAAGAACGUGCUACCAAUGAAACCAAAGUUAAAGAAGACAACAUAAGACAAAAACCAUAACAUAACAACAAUGAGGAAUUAUUAGUUAUUGGUUCAUCUGAAUAAUACAUUACUCGGUGUUUGUAUGAGUGGUGCUGCAUUUUAGCCUGUUUAGCUUUAGAUCAGGGGUCUGCAACAUUUACAAUCCAAAAAACACCAUUUAGAGUCAUUUAGAGCCACAAAUGUUACAUGAUGGGGGAAAAAAACCAUUUUUGAAAAAUAAAUACAGACGAAAGUGUAAUUUUUAAAGAACCAUCACUUUAUUUCAGUUUUUUGUCAUCUUAAAAUAAAGAAACACUUUUCUUUAUUUUAAGAUAAAGAAAAGUACAUUUUUAUGAUGACAUUUGCAGUAAAUAUGAUAUAGUUGCCAACCUAAUGACAAGAAAAAUAGAUCUAAGAUGUACAUUUUGUGUCAUUUUGUUGUGGAAAUUUAAUGCAAUUUGUCUAUAAAAACUGAUUUACAUUUGCUUUACAUCUAUCUUUAAAAACAAUUGUUUGUUCUUUAUCAUUUUUAGCUAUUGCAGAAGGUCCAAAGAGCCACUUGUGGCUCUGGAGUAGCGGGUUGCAGACCCCUGCUCUAGAGUCAUGAGAAGACUUUGACCAAGAGGAAUCUGUACUGACUUUCCUUAACCAAACUAUAGUGUCUGUAACUGGCAAUAAAAUUGAUUUUGUCUGCAAUAAAUAAAUACAGUAAAACUGAA